rnacentral:rRNA from 1 species
AUUGAACGCUGGCGGCAGGCCUAACACAUGCAAGUCGAGCGAGCGGCGGACGGGUGAGUAAUGUCUGGGAAACUGCCUGAUGGAGGGGGAUAACUACUGGAAACGGUAGCUAAUACCGCAUACCCUCAGAUGUGCCCAGAGGGGGGUAUCUAGUGGGUGGGGUAACGGCUCACCUAGGCGACGAUCCCUAGCUGGUCUGAGAGGAUGACCAGCCACACUGGAACUGAGACACGGUCCAGACUCCUACGGGAGGCAGCAGUGGGGAAUAUUGCACAAUGGGCGCAAGCCUGAUGUAGCCAUGCCGCGUGUGUGAAGAAGGCCUUCGGGUUGUAAAGCACUUUCAGCGGGGAGGCGUUACCCGCAGAAGAAGCACCGGCUAACUCCGUGCCAGCAGCCGCGGUAAUAG